GACGAACGCUGGCGGCGUGCUUAACACAUGCAAGUCGAACGGAAAGGCCCUGCUUUUGUGGGGUGCUCGAGUGGCGAACGGGUGAGUAACACGUGAGUAACCUGCCCUUGACUUUGGGAUAACUUCAGGAAACUGGGGCUAAUACCGGAUAGGAGCUCCUGCUGCAUGGUGGGGGUUGGAACGUUUCGGCGGUUGGGGAUGGACUCGCGGCUUAUCAGCUUGUUGGUGGGGUAGUGGCUUACCAAGGCUUUGACGGGUAGCCGGCCUGUGAGGGUGACCGGCCACAAUGGGACUAAGAGACGGCCCAGACUGCUACGGGAGGCAGCAGUGGGGAAUAUUGCACAAUGGGCGGGAGCCUGAUGCAGCAACGCCGGGUGCGGGAUGACGGCCUUCGGGUUGUGAACCGCUUUCGCCUGUGACGAAGCGUGAGUGACGGUAAUGGGUAAAGAAGCACCGGCUAACUACGUG
rnacentral:rRNA from 1 species